AUUGAACGCUGGCGGCAUGCCUUACACAUGCAAGUCGAACGGUAACAGGUCUUCGGAUGCUGACGAGUGGCGAACGGGUGAGUAAUACAUCGGAACGUGCCCGAUCGUGGGGGAUAACGCAGCGAAAGCUGUGCUAAUACCGCAUACGAUCUACGGAUGAAAGCGGGGGAUCGCAAGACCUCGCGCGGACGGAGCGGCCGAUGGCAGAUUAGGUAGUUGGUGGGAUAAAAGCUUACCAAGCCGACGAUCUGUAGCUGGUCUGAGAGGACGACCAGCCACACUGGGACUGAGACACGGCCCAGACUCCUACGGGAGGCAGCAGUGGGGGAAUUUUGGACAAUGGGGGAAACCCUGAUCCAGCAAUGCCGCGUGUGUGAAGAAGGCCUGCGGGUUGUAAAGCACUUUCAGUGGGGAAGAACAGAUUCGGGUCAAUACCCCGGAGCCCUGACGUUACCCACAGAAGAAGCACCGGCUAACUCCGUGCCAGCAGCCGCGGUAAAG
rnacentral:rRNA from 1 species